GAUGAACGCUGGCGGCGUGCCUAAUACAUGCAAGUCGAGCGAACGGACGAGAAGCUUGCUUCUCUGAUGUUAGCGGCGGACGGGUGAGUAACACGUGGAUAACCUACCUAUAAGACUGGGAUAACUUCGGGAAACCGGAGCUAAUACCGGAUGAUAUUUUGAACCGCAUGGUUCAAAAGUGAAAGACGGUCUUGCUGUCACUUAUAGAUGGAUCCGCGCUGCAUUAGCUAGUUGGUAAGGUAACGGCUUACCAAGGCAACGAUGCAUAGCCGACCUGAGAGGGUGAUCGGCCACACUGGAACUGAGACACGGUCCAGACUCCUACGGGAGGCAGCAGUAGGGAAUCUUCCGCAAUGGGCGAAAGCCUGACGGAGCAACGCCGCGUGAGUGAUGAAGGUCUUCGGAUCGUAAAACUCUGUUAUUAGGGAAGAACAUAUGUGUAAGUAACUGUGCACAUCUUGACGGUACCUAAUCGGAAAGCCACAGCUAACUACGUG
rnacentral:rRNA from 1 species